GCCGGGGCGGUGCCGGUGCUGCGCGGCCCCGCCGCCGCUCCCAGCCGCUAUAAGCGGGCGGCCGCGGCCGCGCUCCGCAGUGCAUGGCCGAACCCAGACCGGCCCCCGCCGCUCCGCCGGGACCCUCCCCCGGGCCGGGACCCUCCCCCGGGCCGGUCCCGGCCGCCCCCCGCGCCCCCUCCCUGCCAGCCGUGACCUUGGCAUCCGCCGGCCCUGGGGACAGCCGCCGUGGGAUGCGUUAGGCGGCGGAUCGCACGGGAAUAUUCCUCCCGGCAGAAGGACAGCGGCAGGAAAAGCGGAUUUAAAGAGCAUCUUUGCCCCUUUGUUGGAUGAGAAGGACGGGGAAGGAGCGGCAGAAUGAGCACUAGCAUUCCCUAUCAGCAAAACCCCUACACCCCUGGGAGCAGCUCCUCUGCCAUCCAGUGCUAUCGCUGCGGGGACACCUGCAAGGGCGAGGUCGUGCGUGUGCAGAGCAACCACUUCCACAUCCGCUGCUUCACCUGCCAAGUGUGCGGCUGCGACCUGGCCCAGUCGGGCUUCUUCUUCAAGAACCAGGAGUACAUCUGCACCCACGACUACCAGCAGCUCUACGGGACCCGCUGUGACAGCUGUGGGGACUUCAUCACCGGCGAGGUCAUCUCUGCCCUGGGCAGGACCUACCACCCCAAGUGCUUCGUCUGCAGCACCUGCAGGAAGCCGUUCCCCAUCGGAGACAAGGUGACGUUCAGCGGCAAGGACUGCGUCUGCCAAAACUGCUCCCACUCCCUCCUCAGCACCAAGCCCAUCAAGAUCCACGGGCCCAGCCACUGCGCCGGCUGCAAGGAGGAGAUCAAGCAGGGCCAGUCGCUGCUGGCCCUGGAGAAGCAGUGGCACGUCAGCUGCUUCAAGUGCCAAACGUGCGGGAUCAUCCUGACCGGCGAGUACAUCAGCAAGGAUGGCAUCCCGUACUGCGAGUCCGACUACCACGCCCAGUUCGGCAUCAAGUGCGAGACCUGUGACCGCUACAUCAGUGGCCGUGUGCUGGAGGCAGGAGGGAAGCACUACCACCCCACCUGUGCCAGAUGUGUGCGCUGCCACCAGAUGUUCACAGAGGGAGAGGAGAUGUACCUGACAGGCUCUGAAGUGUGGCACCCCAUCUGCAAGCAGGCAGCCAGAGCAGAGAAGAAGCUGAAGCACAGAAGAACGUCAGAAACCUCCAUCUCCCCCCCUGGCUCCAGCAUCGGCUCCCCAAACCGUGUCAUCUGCGCCAAAGUGGAUAAUGAGAUCCUUAAUUACAAAGACCUGGCAGCUCUUCCCAAGAUUAAAGCCAUCUAUGAAGUGCAGCGUCCUGACCUCAUUUCCUACGAGCCCUAUCACAGAUACACGUCGGAUGAGACGCUGGAGAGAUAUAGCUAUGGGGAGUCCCUGGGGACCCUCUCCCCAUACUCACAGGACAUCUACGAGAGCUUUGACACGCGGCAGAGAAGAGCCUCCAGCCCUGGCUACAUCGACUCCCCCACCUACAGCCGCCAGGGCAUGUCCCCCACCAUCCCCAGGUCCCCACACCAUUUCUACCGCUCAGGCACCGAGAGCGGGCGCAGCUCCCCCUACUAUAGCCAGUUAGAUGUGAGGUCCUCCACUCCAACCUCAUACCAAGCGCCCAAGCAUUUCCACAUCCCAGCUGCUGGAGAGAGCAACAUCUACAGGAAGCCUCCCAUCUACAAGCGCCACGCCACGAAAAGCAAAACCAGCGAGGACAUCGCACAGUCCUCCAAGUACAGCCCUGCCUACUCCCCCGAUCCCUACUACCACUCCGAGUCGGAAUACUGGUCCUUCCAAGGCUCUCCCAAAGCUCCCAGAGCCCGGAGGUUCUCGUCAGGGGGUGAGGAGGAUGGGUACGACCGGGGCAUGCACAAGAUCCAGAGUGGCAUCGGGAGGCUGAUCCUGAGGGAGGAGAUGAAGGCUCGGUCCAACUCCUACGCAGACCCCUGGACACCCCCUCGCAGCUCGGCCAGCAGCAGAGAGGCGCUGCACACAGCGGGCUACGAGGGCUCCCUCAAUGGCUCUCCCCGAAGCCACUACCUGGCCGACAGCGAUCCCCUCAUUUCUAAGUCAGCCUCCCUUCCUGCCUACAGGAGGAAUGGGCUGCACAGGCCUCCCAGCGCGGAGCUUUUCCACUACGACAGCACCAACGCCGUCAACUGGGGGAUGCGAGAGUACAAGGUAAGACCCUUCUGCUGCAAGGAGCGGCCACCAGGCAGAGGUGGGAGUCCCAGGGAUGUGUCCAUGUGUCCCCAGGCUCUCCAGAGGGAAGACCUUUGUUCCCCUCCAUCCUCCACCUGACAGCCCCAUCCCAGGGCUGUGGGGCUCAGAGCAGAGUCCCUCCCCUCCUGCCAGGUCCCAGGUGCUUGGGACAAUGUUUGCUGAGCAGAAUUGUCCCCGGGUGAGGAACAGAGAAGGGGUUUGUGCUGCUGGUUUCCUGCUCACGCUCCUGCCUGGGUCAUUCCUGGCUUUGCAGAGUGAGCAGGUUAUUCCAGAGCACCGUGGAGAUUCUGGGUGGAUCAGAGCCACCCUGAGAGCAAUUCCCACCUCUCCUUGUCCCAUCCAAGCCCUGGAGUCAGCUGUGCCACCCAAACCCUUGCCCUCAUUCCCAAGUGUGCCCUGAGUGUCUCGUGGCUGCCCCACGUGUCCCUGUCCCCCUGCAGAUCUACCCCUACGAGCUGCUCCUGGUGAAGACCAGGGGGAGGAACCAGCUGCCCAAAGAUGUGGACAGGACUCGGUUAGAGAGACAUCUGUCCCAGGAGGAAUUCUACCAGAUCUUCGGGAUGACCAUGGCCGAGUUCGACCGCCUGGCGCUGUGGAAGAGGAACGAGCUGAAGAAGCAGGCCCGGCUGUUUUAAAUGCAGUGCACUAUAAAUAUAUACAUACCUAUAAAUAUAUACAUAGAGAGA